rnacentral:lncRNA from 1 species
GCCUGUCCUAUUCAGUUAGCAAAUAUCUGUUGACCAUCUCAUGCCAGACAUCAUCAUAGAUACUGUGGAUAUUAAAUUAGAUUACAUAUGACCUGGGUUUGUUGGGACCUUGCAGUGUUUUGGGAAGAGUUGGAAAGAUACUGUCUUUUGGGCAAUGUCUUUGUGUAUUUUCCUGUGUUCUUCAUUCCUGCUGUUAGAAGUAUAUACAUGUCACAGAGGAUGCAGCCACCUUCUUUCAAUCCCCGACAUAGUGGAGACUUAAAUUGCGUAGUACUGAACCUGCAUAUUGAAUGGAUAACUGAGCUGCAAGGGAGGUGACUGAGUAGGCCAUGUAUACAGUAUGGCUGUCCUG